CGCGUAGGCGGCUUUGUAAGUCUGGAGUGAAAGUCCUCUUUUCAAGGGAGGAAUUGCUUUGGAAACUAUAGAGCUUGAGUGCAGGAGAGGUUAUCGGAAUUCCCGGUGUAGCGGUGAAAUGCGUAGAUAUCGGGAGGAACAUCGGUGGCGAAGGCGGGUAACUGGACUGCAACUGACGCUGAGGCGCGAAAGUGUGGGGAGCAAGCA
rnacentral:rRNA from 1 species